rnacentral:piRNA from 1 species
UGCUAUUAUCACGACGUCGCCUAUCUU